rnacentral:lncRNA from 1 species
GAGAAUAUGAACCUUCUGAAAGACCAGACCCUGAUACAGAUUAUGCCAGAGCUCAGGAGGCCCGUCGUUUCAUGAUCUAUGUUCAUGCAAAAAUGAUGAUUGGUAGGUGAUGAAUACCUUUUUUAAAUUUAAUUCACACACCUCACUUGCUUCUGUUAUUGAAUAUUAGCUUUGAAUUUGGCGGCCCGGGGGGAUCUGGUAGGUCCUUGAACCACUAGUGGAGCAGAGACAUUGAAGUUGACAUUUUCUUUUUUUGAAAUUAUACAAGCCUUUGCAGAAUAUAUCCACCAUAUGGUUGGGUCAUGAGGAAAAUUUCCUUUGAAGUAAGGUGGUAUAAGGAGGAGCAAUGGUCAUGGUGCUGUAAAUAAUGAAAAUUAACAGGCUUUUUCAUUCGAAUUGUUUUGAACACUGAGCUCCCCUUCAGUUCUUUUUUAUGUUUCUCUUUAGUACCUACAUCUCAUAUAACUUUGGUUGGCUUUCUUCAGUUGAUGAUGAAUACAUAAUAAUUGGGUCUGCCAACAUCAACCAGCGAUCCAUGGAUGGUGCUAGAGACUCUGAAAUAGCCAUGGGAGCCUAUCAACCAUAUCAUUUAUCAUUAAGGGAACCAGCACGAGGUCAGGUCCAUGGUUUCCGUUUGUCACUGUGG